rnacentral:tRNA from 1 species
CUAAGGAAAUGGAAACCUGUACGUCAGUCUUCUUUAAUUUUGAGAGGUCUUGUGGGGCCUUAGCUCAGCUGGGAGAGCGCCUGCUUUGCACGCAGGAGGUCAGCGGUUCGAUCCCGCUAGGCUCCAUUAGGAUAGAAAUCCUACUAAACUGAAUAACAGUGAAGUUGAAUUCACGACUAACUUCUUAGGAAAAUAGAUAAUCUUCCUUGUGUGCAAGACACACAAUGUCAGAUUCCUAAUUUUCUACAGAAGUUUCGCAGAAGCGACCGUCGUUCAUAUCCUAAACUUGUCCAUUGAAAAUUGAAUAUCUAUCAAACAUUCCUAAACGUAUGUAAAAAUACGUAUAGAAAUAGUAACAAGAAAAUAAACCGAAAACGCUGUGAAUAUUUAAUGAGUUUUCUAAUUUUUGAAAAAAAUUAGGUUA